AUGAAAAUGGCAAGUUCCCUGGCCUUUCUUCUGCUCAACUUUCAAGUCUGCCUCCUCUUGGUCCAGCUGCUCACUCCUUGCUCAGCUCAGUUUGCUGUGCUUGGACCCCUUGGGCCCAUCCUGGCCAUGGUAGGUGAAGACUCUGAUCUGCCCUGUCACCUGUUCCUGACAGUGAAUGCAGAGACCAUGGAGCUGAGGUGGAUAAGUUCCAGCCUAAGGAGGGUGGUGAAUGUGUAUGCAGAUUGCAAGGAAAUGGAAGACAGUCAGAGUGCAGAGUAUUGAGGUAGAACUUCGAUUCUUCAGGAUGGCAUCACUGCAGGGAAUACUGCUCUCCGAAUAUACAAUGUUACAGCCUCUGAUAAUGGAAAGUACUUGUGUUAUUUCCAAGAUGGUGACUUCUAUGAAAAAGCCCUGGUGGAGCUGAAGGUUGCAGCAUUGGGUUCUGAUCUUCACGUUGAAGUGAAGGGUUAUGAGGAUAGAGGACUCCAUCUGGAGUGCAGGUCCACUGGGUGGUAUCCCCAACCCCAAAUACAGUGGAGCAACAUCAAGGAAGAGAACAUCCCGGCUGUGGAAGCACCUGUGGUUGCAGAUGGAGUGGGCCUGUAGCAUUAGCAGCAUCCGUGAUCAUGAGAGGCAGAUCUGGGGAGGGUGUAUCCUGCAUCGUCAGAAAUUCCCUCCUCGGCCUGGAAAAGGCAGCCAGCAUUUCCAUCGAAGAUCCCUUCUUCAGGAGCACCCAGUCCUGGAUCGCAGCCCUGGAAGGGACCCUGCCUAUCUCGCUGCUGCUUCUUGCAGGAGCCAGUUACUUCUUGAGGCAACAGCAGAAGGAAAAAAUUGCUCUGUCCAGGGAGACAGAAAGAGAGCGAGAGAUGAGAGAAAUGGGAUAUGCUGCCACAAAGCAGGAAAUAAGCCUAAGAGAGAAGCUCCAGGAAGAACUCAAAUGGAAAAUGGCCCUUUUCAAGCCUGGUGAGGAAAUUCUUCAGAUGAAGCUCCACCUUGUUAAAUAAAUUGGAUAUAUGGAAAAAUAGGACUGCAGAAAAGGGGAACACAUUUAGCUCACGAGUGGUCGAGUGAAGAUUGAAAAUUAACGUCUGAGGGCCGGGCAUGGUAGCCCAUGCCUAUAAUCCCAGCACUUUGCGAAGCUGAGCCGGGCAGAUCACAAGGUCAGGAGAUCGAGACCAUCCUGGCUAACACGGUGAAACCCCAUCUGUACUAAAAAUACAAAAAAAAAAAAAAAUUAGCUGGGCAUGGUGGUGGGCACCUGUAGUACCAGCUACUUGGGAGGCUGAGACAGGAGAAUGGCGUAAAUCUGGGAGAUGGAGCUUGCAGUGAGCCGAGAUUUCACCACUGCACUCCAACUUGGGCAGCAGAGCAAGACUCUGCAAAAAAAAAAAAAAAGAAAAUUAACCUCUGAGUAUAAAGCAUCAGUGGGCAGAACAGUGUGGGGAGGGAAACAACAAAAAUGUAGAAGGAGGAUCCUUGUUGCUUCUUGAGGCCGCAUCAGGGUAUUAGGUUAGCCAGAUACUGACCUUACUUUCAUUUCGCCUCUGGUCACAAGACCCCUGGGGCUUUCACCAAUGACACUGAUGAGAGAAUCACAUUCAGGGCAGGCUAGGGACCUGAGGUUCUGGAAGGACCUCCUCAGCAUGGCCCAGGCCUUGCAUGCUCAGGUUCUGAAAUCCAGGAAAAAUGACUGACCCCAUGGACACCUCCUCAAACUCUCUGCAGCGGAUGUGAUUCUGGAUCCAGACACGGCAAAUGCCAUCCUCCUUGUUUCUGAGGACCAGAGGAGUGUGCAGCCUGCUGAGGAGCCCCAUGACCUACCAGACGACCCUGAGGGAUUUGAAUGGCGUUACUGUGUGCUUGGUGUGAAAACCUCACAUCAGGGAGACAUUACUGGGAGGUGGAAGUGGGGGACAGAAAAGAGUGGCAUAUUGGGGUGUGUAGUAAGAACAUGGAGAGGAAAAAAGGUUGGGUCAAAAUGACACCAGAGAAUGGAUACUGGACCAUGGGGCUGACUGAUGGGAAUAAGUAUCAGGCUCUCACUGAGCCCAGAACCAACCUGAAACUUCCUGAGCCCCUAAGAAAGUGGGGAUCUUCCUGGACUAUGAGACUGGAGAGAUCUCAUUCUACAAUGCCACGGAUGGAUCUCAUAUCUACACCUUUCUGCAUGCCUCUUUCUCUGAGCCUCUGUAUCCUGUAUUCAGAAUUUUGAUCUUGGAGCCCACUGCCCUGACCAUUUGCCCAACACCAAAAGAAGUAGAGAGUUCCCCGGAUCCUGACCUAAUGCCUGAUCAUUCCCUGGAAACACCAGUGACUCCGGGCUUAGCUAAUGAAAGUGGGGAGCGUCAGGCUGAAGUAACAUCUCUGCUUCUCCCUGCCCAGCCUGGAGCUGAGGGUCUCCCCCUCCACAACAACCAAUCAGAACCAUAAAGCUACAGGCACACACUGAAGCACUUUACUGAUAUUCAUUCGAUUAUUCCAUAGGACAGUUGCUUGAGUUUGGUGCCACCUUAUUGUCCCCUUUAUGCAAAUAAGGAGACUGGGGUGUAGAAAAGUGUAUUGACUUUACAAAGUAGACAUGACUAGUGAACGACAGAGCUGGAAUCUGAACAACAAUAACUAACAUUAAUGGAGAACUUAAAAUGUUCUGAGUGCUGUGUUAUGGGCUUCGGUGAGUGUCAGUCCUUUAAUCCUCACAACACCCCAUUGGGUAGUCUCAUUUUGCAAGUAUGAAAGCUGAGGCAGGGCAACAUUAAGUAACUUACAUAACUCAUACGGUAAUUUGUGCAGUUGGGAGAUGGUCAGCCUCAGUCCCUGGCUAAUUGCCCAUUCUUUUCCAGCCUGAUUUUUCCCCCUUGGGAAGAACCUCCAUGUAGCCCUGAGGUUCCCUUCCCAGGGCAGCUCCAGGAUAGAGAUCACUGUGGAUGGUUGUGGAGUUGACACCUCUAUUGACUCCUUUCCAGCUGAUUGUCAGAGCCUUAGACCAAGCAGUCCUUGGAGUGGCUCUGCAGAGUGUCUUUGUUGAGAGAAUAACGUUAUAGUUCCCACAUGGCCUGUGACUUGGAAAGAGACUAGAGGCCACACUCAAUGGGGCACAGAUGUGUGCCCACCCAACAAAUGUGAUAAGUGAUCGUGCAGCCAGAGCAAGGCUUCCUACAGUCAAGAUUUCUAGGCAGAACAAAUACCCUAAAUAUCCUCUGUGAUAUAAGUAAUUUGGAUGAAGGAAGCUAGAAGAAUUACAGGGAUGAUUUUAAUCCCGCUAUGGACUCAGUCUCCUGGAAAAGGAUCUGUUCACUCCUGAUCAUUGGUGGAUGUUAAACCCAUAUUUCUUUCAACUGAUGCCUGCUAGGGAAAACUGCUCCUCAUUAUUAUCACUAUCAUUGCUCACCACUUUAUCCCCUCUACUUGGCAAGUGCUUGUUAAGCUCUAGUUGUUCAAUAAAUGUGUUAAUAAUGCUGACUC